UCAUUCGUUGAGAGGAGAGACAGUUGGCAUCUCCCCUGAUAGGGACAGGAACGGCUUUCGAGCUUACCUGUUACCACACAUCUGGUUAAGGCUACCCAGGAAUCACUAGUUACUGCUAGUUUUA